UACGGAGGAUGCGAGCGUUAUCCGGAUUUAUUGGGUUUAAAGGGUGCGCAGGCGGCAGGCCAAGUCAGCGGUAAAAUCUCGGCGCUCAACGCCGUUCGGCCGUUGAAACUGUCCGGCUCGAGUGCGUGGGAGGAUGGCGGAAUGCGCGGUGUAGCGGUGAAAUGCAUAGAUAUCGCGCAGAACCCCGAUUGCGAAGGCAGCUGUCCAUCACGCCACUGACGCUCAUGCACGAAAGCGUGGGUAUC
rnacentral:rRNA from 1 species